rnacentral:rRNA from 1 species
AGCUUGCUAAGGCCGAUGGCGACCGGCGCACGGGUGAGUAACACGUAUCCAACCUGCCGUCUACUCUUGGACAGCCUUCUGAAAGGAAGAUUAAUACAAGAUGGCAUCAUGAGUCCGCAUGUUCACAUGAUUAAAGGUAUUCCGGUAGACGAUGGGGAUGCGUUCCAUUAGAUAGUAGGCGGGGUAACGGCCCACCUAGUCUUCGAUGGAUAGGGGUUCUGAGAGGAAGGUCCCCCACAUUGGAACUGAGACACGGUCCAAACUCCUACGGGACGCAGCAGUGAGGAAUAUUGGUCAAUGGGCGAGAGCCUGAACCAGCCAAGUAGCGUGAAGGAUGACUGCCCUAUGGGUUGUAAACUUCUUUUAUAAAGGAAUAAAGUCGGGUAUGGAUACCCGUUUGCAUGUACUUUAUGAAUAAGGAUCGGCUAACUCCGUGCCAGCAGCCGCGGUAAUACGGAGGAUCCGAGCGUUAUCCGGAUUUAUUGGGUUUAAAGGGAGCGUAGAUGGAUGUUUAAGUCAGUUGUGAAAGUUUGCGGCUCAACCGUAAAAUUGCAGUUGAUACUGGAUAUCUUGAGUGCAGUUGAGGCAGGCGGAAUUCGUGGUGUAGCGGUGAAAUGCUUAGAUAUCACGAAGAACUCCGAUUGCGAAGGCAGCCUGCUAAGCUGCAACUGACAUUGAGGCUCGAAAGUGUGGGU